GUGAGUCAUCGAAUCUUUGAACGCACAUUGCGCCCGCCGGUAUCCCGGCGGGCAUGCCUGUCCGAGCGUCAUUGCAACCCUCAGGUCCCGUGCCUGGUGUUGGGGCCCUGCGCAGCAGGCCCCGAAAGACAGCGGCGGGUGCGUCCCGGAACCGAACGCAGUAGCUAUACCUCGUUCCGGCCCGCGGCGCACGCCAGCCGUAAAACGCUCUCCAGCUUUUUCUCCAAAGUUGACCUCGGAUCAGGUAGGAAUACCCGCUGAACUUAAGCAUAUCAAUAAGCGGAGGA
rnacentral:misc_RNA from 1 species